rnacentral:rRNA from 1 species
UACGUAGGGCGCGAGCGUUGUCCGGAUUUAUUGGGCGUAAAGGGCUCGUAGGCGGCCUGUCGCGUCGGGAGUGAAAGCCCACUGCUUAACGGUGGGUCUGCUUCCGGUACGGGCGGGCUGGAGUAUGGCAGGGGAGACUGGAAUUCCUGGUGUAGCGGUGGAAUGCGCAGAUAUCAGGAGGAACACCGGUGGCGAAGGCGGGUCUCUGGGCCAUUACUGACGCUGAGGAGCGAAAGCGUGGGGAGCGAACAGG